CGGUUACAUUCCGAACCCGGAAGCUAAGCCUUACAGCGCCGAUGGUACUGCAGGGGGGACCCUGUGGGAGAGUAGGACGCCGCCGAAC
rfam:Streptomyces variegatus strain NRRL B-16380 contig-5, whole genome shotgun sequence.